CUCCACCUCGACCUCGGCCGGCGCCCUCCUCAGCCUUCGGCUGGCCUGGGCCGAGGCGGAGCGAAGAUCCCUCCCGGACGCACGCCGCGGUUUGGUCCCUCCAUCUUCUGCUGUCGCAUCCGGCCAGAUCCGAUGGAGGCGAGCUCCUCCUCCUCGCCCGCGGGCCCCGCGCCAGGGCCGCCGCCCUCCAUACCCCCCUCCGGCGACCAGGGCGUCUGGGCCGACGUCUCCCCGCUCAUCGCCGCCGCCUGCGCUGAUCUCCAAGAUGGGGAACUUGUACAUGGGGAGAACUUCAGUUUGUUUGCCGCAAUGUCUGCAUUGGAAAUAAUGGACCCUAAAAUGGAUUCCGGAAUCGAGAGAAGUGGAUAUUAUUCCAUCGAUGAAGCCAUAGAAGAUGGCAUUGCCCCAGUUCCACUUAGUUUGGACAGAACACUUGACAUUCAACGAACUCUUGAUGUCAUCGACCAUCUUUUCUCAUGUGAGGCAACCUGGCACAAGGGUCACACGCUAGCACAAACCGUCUUCACAUGUAUCUACCUUAUGAAAAUGGAGAGAAUUUCAUCGCAUGCUGUCCUAAAUAGCUUCUGCAGGAUUUUGCGUGCUACUUGUAAUUCUGUCAUUUCUGUCGUUUCGACCGCCCGAACUCAUGAGGAAGAAGACCUCUUUACGAUGUCUUUUGGACUGCCUUUGAAUGGUGAAGGUGAUGAUAAGUGCUUGUCAGUUCUGAACUCGGUUGAAGAGACAAUAUCUCGUCAAUUGCGUGCAUGUAAAUCCCAAGCAUUAUCCAAGAAAAAAACACUAGAAGAGUUUGAAUCACUGCAGGAUAAUCCUGAGCUGGAAGAGGGUUACUGCAGAGCCUUGUUGUGCAGAUUACGUUUUCGUAAGCAUUUUCACCAUGUGGUUACGUGCAUGAGGAAACCUCAAGGAAGAGGAUUGGAUUUGGCUCGCAAGCAUGUUACAUCAUGCUUGGCUGAGCUUAGUUCGAUGCUGAAAUCCCAAGAGUUCCUUAAGUCUCAGUCUGACAUUACAUCGCAAAAAGGUGACGAAAGCUGCACCACUGCAUCAGGUUGCUGCCCUAUUGGCUUUGAUGUCAGCCUGAAUAGCAGACUUCUGAGUCCAGCACCACCGCGUGCUGUUCAAAUACUUGCCUGGAGUGAUGCAAUUAGGUACUUUGAGAAGCUUCUGCAUGAUCUAGAUAUCAUUUGUGCUCUGUCGCUUGAUCCCGUGCUUGAGAAUGUUCUUCACUUCAUUGCACAGUUCCAAAAAUCUGUACCUGAUUUGGUUCCUAGAGCAUUUCUUCAGACUUUAUUGGUUCAAGAUGGCAAGCUUUAUGGGCGAGACUUGUUUUGUGAUGUAAUUUCAAGGGCUCUGUCAUUACCGGAUAUUAUAGGAGAUAAGGAAUUCCAGUCGAAUGAGUUUGUAGUGCAGCUAGGUCAGUUGGUUACCAACUUGCUCAAAAUUCUCUGUACAAACACUGCAUGGCAACGGCGCAAGCUUGGGAAGAGCUUGCAGGAUUGGAGUACCAUUUCCAUACAGUUGGAGCUUGCAUUGAAAAGAGAGUUUGGUGAAACUAGAAAUGUCUUGGCCGAUGAGAACAUGUGCAUGAGAGUAUCAAAGCAACUACUUGUUUGGUCUCAAGAACAUACGUACUGGAUUGCUUCUCGGUUUCUCAUAUUGGGUUUUGAGCUUGACCUCUAUUCUCCAAGUGAAUACUGUAUGGUGUACUGGUAUAUGCAUGUGGUGUUUAUAAAGCUGAUAGAGAAGAUGCAGUUACGAAUCCUUGCUAGCAACGAAAACUCGCGAAGAAAAGGGAAAAAGAAGAAGGAUCAUUCAAAGGACUCUGUACGAGACACACCAUUUCCUUCUUCAUGUUUAUUGCUUCAGUGCUAUGUUCUAUUAUCAGAAGGACUUUCAAUGUUGCUGGCUGCCCUGAGAAAGGAAAGCAAGUCAUUCCAGUCACCAAGUAUCUUCAAUACUGAACAAGAGAGAUUCAUGCAGCAUUUUGAUCUUCUCCAGAAAGCACAAAUACCCGAGUGCAUUACCUACUACAGUUUCAAGGAAGCGGCUGCCCAGGCACACAUGGCAGACGUAAUGAAAUACAACUUUUUCAAGGAAAUCCAGAAGAUAAUUCCCUCCUUGAAAGGUAGUUUUGCGAGCGAACCAGAAAAGCUUGCAGAGCUCCGCCAGAUUGAACAGGUUGCCGAGCACAAUAGGAUAGCCCUAAACAUCAUCAACCACGUCGGUGCUAGCGAUCCGAAACUGAGGGUUUCGUUUGAGUUUACGCACCACCCCCACUUUGCGGUCGCAGUUGUAAAGAGAUCAUAGGUUCUUCUCAAGACAGGGUGAAAGAUUUUCCAACUCUGUUUUAGUGAUGGCACAGCUCGGGUCUGUCAUUCUUGAUUGUUCAUUUGGUUCGGGCAAAUCUCUCUUUAGGCUGCACGAACGUGACAAUUUUGUAGACAACAGGAAGAAUAUAGAAAAUGCCAGGAAAGGCUCACGCCCCUGGCUUUAUUCUGUCAAGCAAUUUUUGAUAUCAUUUAUUCUGCAAAACACACUGUACAAAUGUUCUAUAAUUCCAGCGAGAAGUUAUUGGCAGAUUGAGUUUAGUGGAAUUGUUAUGUUAUCUAAGAGGGUGGAGGGAAGCAGCUUCUCUUAUGUUGUUUGGGAUAUUUUGGUACAAAAAAGAUAUAUUGAGCAGUGCAUCAAUGCAUCACGAAGAUGA
rnacentral:rRNA from 1 species